rnacentral:rRNA from 1 species
UACGAAGGGGGCUAGCGUUGCUCGGAAUCACUGGGCGUAAAGCGCACGUAGGCGGAUCGAUCAGUCAGGGGUGAAAUCCCAGAGCUCAACUCUGGAACUGCCUUUGAUACUGUCGAUCUGGAGUAUGGAAGAGGUGAGUGGAAUUCCGAGUGUAGAGGUGAAAUUCGUAGAUAUCGAGAGGAACACCUGCGGCGAAGGCGGGUUGCUGGGCUGACACUGACGCUGAUGCGCGAAAGCCAGGGGAGCGAACGGG